AAUUAAGCCACUUCCCCAAGAUACUGAAUAUAUAAUUCUUAAUCUUUUUCCCCUUGCACCCUAAGCCACAGGUAAAGGAGCCACACAAGCCCCACCCUCUACCCUGGCCAAAAAUGCAUGUUUCUGCAGGGGAAGGCAGCAGAGGUCAAAGUGCACUGGCUACCUUGCUCUUCCUGGUAAGUGAUGGCUGAUGACACCUGGGAGCCGGCCAGCAAAUUCGCCUGAUGACCAAUACUGUUGUACUAUUUGUUUUGUAUAUAUUUGUCAAUAAUUAAAUUCACUAUUGUUACAUUUUAUGAUUUGUCUGUCAAUCAAUGACUGCACUGAAUAAUUAAUGUGUCAUGACUUUGUGCUGUAUUUGGAAAAGUUAAAUAGCUGAAAGUUGCAUGUAGUGACAGUCA
ensembl:lncRNA